AAGGAAUAGAUACCCUACAUUUCUCACUUGGCAGCCACCUCUUCUCCUGAUCUCAUCUCACAACUCGUCUCCUCCCGAAGUCACCACCUCAACUCUUCUUCCUUUCUAUUGCCCACCACCAAGGCCUGUGGCAUCACCCCCUCUCCUCACCGCCACUGACCAGCCAUCUCUCUCCCCCUCAUCUCCAUCUUCUUUAACCACACAAGAAGGCUGACCCACCUCCUCUCUUCGUGAGGCAAGUGGCAGAGCUCGGCUCAGCUGAAUCCGUCGCCAAUCUUGUCCUUGAGGCUACCUCCCAUCCCUCUCUUUUCGCCUUCGCCAAGAUCCUCACCAUCCCCAACCUCUCGAAGAUACCCUUGUUGGCCACUGCCUUCUUUGUUCCUUUCAUGUUUGCUAAUCUUAACCUUCAUACUGUUUCUAUUCCCUGCUUCAGCUUCUGGCAUCGCAGUAUUCGUGGUAUCUGGAUGUGCCUCUCUUGUUUCCUCGUGGCACAUGGAAAAAUUACCAAAGUAAUGCUCAUAGCCUUCCAGUUAUGUUGCCUGAUCGAGUUCGUAAGCUAAAGCAGCUUAGUGUAUUAGCACUCAUUGAAAAUGAAAAGGGCAUGAAGCUACUGCCAACAGGAAGAAAAAGCUCACUAUCUUUAGUCCUCUAUUCUUCAGUUAGAAAAGAAGAAAAGAGAAGAUAGAUCAGCAUCUCAGAAGGCUAAUGAGGCCAUCAUGCAGUUCGUAUGAGACAUUUCUGUCUUUUGAGCAUUGACUUUGUAGCAUCACACCAUGAACUAGGUCGUAGCUAGUUCUUGUUUAAAUCUGGACUUGUCAAUUUCUGUCUUCGUAUCUGGAACUAGGCCAUAGACAUUUUUGUCCAUUUCUGUCUUUUCAAUCUGAACAUGUCAAUUAUCUUCGAAUCUUGUUUGAAUCAUGUUGACAGAACUAUCAGCAUUUUGAAAAUUAUGUACUUAGUUUUUA